GUUAACCAUUGCGUUGGAAUUUGAUACUUACGAAAUUUUGAAUUUAGUAUAGAGUCUAUCCUCAGACUCUGGCCAUCGAUCUCUUGUAUACUAUGCUCAGGGGUGUCCACAAGUGGCUGGGCCUGGGAUAUAGCUAUUGUCAAGCCUAUAGCCCAAUCCUUGGUAUCUGGAUCAAGAUAUGACAUUACGGCACUGGCACUGGUGUUGUGUUAGCCUCCUUCACCGGCCUUCAAGGAAGUGCGGCCUGGGAUCGAGGCUAGUUCUGUGUGGACCAUCACUGAGCAAAAUGGAACCUUCCCCUCCAACCCCCGUCGUACUCCUUCUAGCUGAUGGGUGCGAACUCAUUGAAAGAGGAUGCCCCAGUGCCACUCGUGUCCUUCCCAAGGGGCCGAUUUUAUAGAACUACCUGCACUAAAACUACUGACGUGGAAUGGCUCUUUCAACACUUGUGGUUGCUAUCCUGACCAGUGACGUCAGGAUUCUACUGUCUCUUGAUGCACUGUGAACACACAAUCUUUGUUAUGCCACCUGAAGGCUUAGCAGGCAUAUCCAACGCAGUAUUUAUUAAGUCUUUCUGGAAGCUCUUGUUUGAGAUCUUCGCUUCUAAACAUCUGCAUUUAUUAUGGACGCAGUACUGCUGUGCACUCUACAGAGUAUUAAUUCCUAGUGUCAUUAUAUCACUGUAUUUUUAGCCAACUGUGAUGAACUGAAGAUUUUACAGUACAUAGCAUUCCUCUUGAUACUUACCAGUUUUCGGUCACGCCCAGAGACAAUCAAUACCAGGCC